rnacentral:rRNA from 1 species
UACGGAGGAUCCGAGCGUUAUCCGGAUUUAUUGGGUUUAAAGGGAGCGUAGGUGGAUUGUUAGGUCAGUUGUGAAAGUUUGCGGCUCAACCGUAAAAUUGCAGUUGAAACUGGCAGUCUUGAGUACAGUAGAGGUGGGCGGAAUUCGUGGUGUAGCGGUGAAAUGCUUAGAUAUCACGAAGAACUCCGAUUGCGAAGGCAGCUCACUAGACUGCAACUGACACUGAUGCUCGAAAGUGUGGGUAUCAAACAGG